rnacentral:rRNA from 1 species
AUACGUAGGGUGCGAGCGUUGUCCGGAAUUACUGGGCGUAAAGAGCUCGUAGGUGGUUUGUCGCGUCGUCUGUGAAAUUCCGGGGCUUAACUCCGGGCGUGCAGGCGAUACGGGCAUAACUUGAGUACUGUAGGGGAGACUGGAAUUCCUGGUGUAGCGGUGAAAUGCGCAGAUAUCAGGAGGAACACCGGUGGCGAAGGGGGGUCUCUGGGCAGUAACUGACGCUGAGGAGCGAAAGCAUGGGUAGCGAACAGGAUUAGAUCCCCUGGUAGUCCAUGCCGUAAACGGUGGGCGCUAGGUGUAGGGGUCUUCCACGACUUCUGUGCCGUAGCUAACGCAUUAAGCGCCCCGCCUGGGGAGUACGGCCGCAAGGCUAAAACUCAAAUGAAUUGACGGGG